AAGUCGUAACAAGGUUUCCGUAGGUGAACCUGCGGAAGGAUCAUUACCUAGAGUUGUAGGCUUUGCCUGCUAUCUCUUACCCAUGUCUUUUGAGUACCUUACGUUUCCGAACCCACCGAUUGGACAAAUUUAAACCCUUUGCAGUUGAAAUCAGCGUCUGAAAAAACUUAAUAGUUACAACUUUCAACAACGGAUCUCUUGGUUCUG
rnacentral:misc_RNA from 1 species